rnacentral:misc_RNA from 1 species
GUGAAUCAUCGAAUCUUUGAACGCAAAUUGCACUUUCUGGUAUUCCGGAAAGUAUGCCUGUUUGAGGGUCAGUUAAUUAAAAAUCGGUGUUGUUUCUGCCUUUCUUGGUGGCGCGGCGGAAUUGGGUCGUCUUACCUUCGGUUAAUUGACUUAAAAUUUUUGCAUUAUUUUCUACCCUAUUUAAAUCGGUUACGUACCUUGCAGAUGUCUAAUG